rnacentral:rRNA from 1 species
AACGCGAAGAACCUUACCGGGGUUUGACAUGUGCCGGAAAGCCCCAGAGAUGGGGUCCUCCUUCGGGACCGGUGCACAGGUGCUGCAUGGCUGUCGUCAGCUCGUGCCGUGAGGUGUUGGGUUAAGUCCCGCAACGAGCGCAACCCUCGCCGCUAGUUGUAUGUUUCUAGCGGGACUGCUGCGCAAAACGCAGAGGAAGGUGGGGAUGACGUCAAGUCAUCAUGGCCUUUAUGCCCCGGGCUACACACACGCUACAAUGGACGGUACAGACGGUUGCGAAGCCGCGAGGUGAAGCCAAUCCGACAAAGCCGUCCUCAGUACAGAUUGCAGGCUGCAACUCGCCUGCAUGAAGACGGAGUUGCUAGUAACCGCAGGUCAGCACACUGCGGUGAAUACGUUCCCGGGCCUUGUACACACCGCACUACUA